GACGAACGCUGGCGGCGUGCUUAACACAUGCAAGUCGAACGGAAAGGCCCUGCUUUUGUGGGGUGCUCGAGUGGCGAACGGGUGAGUAACACGUGAGUAACCUGCCCUUGACUUUGGGAUAACUUCAGGAAACUGGGGCUAAUACCGGAUAGGAGCUCCUGCUGCAUGGUGGGGGUUGGAAAGUUUCGGCGGUUGGGGAUGGACUCGCGGCUUAUCAGCUUGUUGGUGGGGUAGUGGCUUACCAAGGCUUUCACGGGUAGCCGGCCUGAGAGGGUGACCGGCCACAUUGGGACUGAGAUACGGCCCAGACUCCUACGGGAGGCGGCAGUGGGGAAUAUUGCACAAUGGGCGGAAGCCUGAUGCAGCAACGCCGCGUGCGGGAUGACGGCCUUCGGGUUGUAAACCGCUUUCGCCUGUGACGAAGCGUGAGUGACGGUAAUGGGUAAAGAAGCACCGGCUAACUACGUG
rnacentral:rRNA from 1 species